GGAACACUUUGGUGUUAGUAACCUGACUGGAAUGAACUGCCUGGUAGAUGGAAAUAUCCCACCAAGUUCUGGCCUCUCCAGCUCCAGUGCUUUGGUCUGUUGUGCUGGCUUGGUGACGCUCACAGUGCUGGGAAGGAAUCUAUCCAAGGUGGAACUUGCAGAAAUCUGUGCCAAGAGUGAGCGUUACAUUGGCACUGAAGGAGGAGGCAUGGACCAGUCUAUAUCAUUUCUUGCAGAAGAAGGAACUGCCAAGUUGAUAGAAUUUAGUCCUCUGAGGGCAACCGAUGUAAAACUCCCAAGUGGAGCAGUGUUUGUGAUUGCCAACAGUUGUGUGGAGAUGAACAAAGCAGCAACUUCCCAUUUCAAUAUCAGGGUGAUGGAGUGUCGGCUGGCUGCAAAGCUCCUGGCUAAAUACAAAAGCUUGCAAUGGGACAAAGUACUGAGGCUGGAGGAGGUGCAGGCUAAACUAGGGAUUAGUCUAGAAGAAAUGCUGUUGGUCACAGAAGAUGCCCUUCAUCCUGAACCCUAUAACCCUGAGGAGAUCUGCAGGUGUCUGGGAAUUAGCCUGGAGGAACUCCGAACCCAAAUCCUGAGUCCAAACACUCAAGAUGGUCUGGGAAUUUUCAUAAAUUUUCCAAAAUUUUCCCAGACCCACCACACCAGCUCAGCCACUGUUCAGCAUGGGUGAAAAUAUGCUCAUCUUCAAACUCUAUCAGCGGGCAAAGCAUGUGUACAGUGAGGCUGCGCGAGUGCUCCAGUUUAAGAAGAUAUGUGAAGAAGCACCUGAAAACAUGGUC
rnacentral:sRNA from 1 species